rnacentral:tRNA from 1 species
ACCUGGCUGGCUCAGUUGGUAGAGCAUGUGACUCUGGAUCUUAAGGUCAUGAGUUCAAGCCCCACGUUGGGCA